rnacentral:rRNA from 1 species
UACGUAGGGUGCAAGCGUUGUCCGGAAUUAUUGGGCGUAAAGAGCUCGUAGGCGGUCUGUCGCGUCUGCUGUGAAAACUCGGGGCUUAACCCCGGGCCUGCAGUGGGUACGGGCAGACUAGAGUGCGGUAGGGGAGAACUGGAAUUCCUGGUGUAGCGGUGAAAAUGCGCAGAUAUCAGGAGGAACACCGGUGGCGAAGGCGGGUCUCUGGGCCGUAACUGACGCUGAGGAGCGAAAGCGUGGGGAGCGAACAGG